GCGCGGACCAAUCACAGCUGGCGCUCUGCACGCUGCCACUGCUUUAUCAAGUUUACCUCAGCGCAGAUCGCGCUCCUCCUGUCACUCAAACUGGACUCAGGCUGACCUGCAUGGAUAUUUACACCAACCCAGUGUGGGUAGUUAUUUUUCUUGGGAGAACUCCACAUCGAGGAAAGAGUUUAAAACGAACCCUGUUAGCUCUGGUUGUGCGGCUCUGUGUGAACCACAGGAAUAACUUGUAGUCUUUCUUUCAGAGGAGUUGAGGAGCGGUGAGUGAUUUAUAUUUGUGAACAAAGAAUUAUGCGGCGUUUCCAUCUCAACACGCUGCCCAGCGUGUGGCGCUGUCUGCCCUGUAAAGUUCAUGUCUGUGUUCCUGGUUGGUCGGAGCGUUAGCGGCUAACGAACCAGCGCUAACCUCAUCAUGCAGGCUGAACUUGAUUUU